UCAUCUGUUAAAGAGGAGGCUGGUGUA
rnacentral:piRNA from 1 species